UACGUAGGGUGCAAGCGUUGUCCGGAAUUAUUGGGCGUAAAGAGCUCGUAGGCGGUUUGUCACGUCGGAUGUGAAAACCCGAGGCUUAACCUCGGGCCUGCAUUCGAUACGGGCUGACUAGAGUUCGGUAGGGGAGACUGGAAUUCCUGGUGUAGCGGUGAAAUGCGCAGAUAUCAGGAGGAACACCGGUGGCGAAGGCGGGUCUCUGGGCAUUAACUGACGCUGAGGAGCGAAAGCAUGGGGAGCGAACAGG
rnacentral:rRNA from 1 species